CACACUAUCAUUAACUGAAUCCAUAGGUUAAUGAGGCGAACCGGGGGAACUGAAACAUCUAAGUACCCCGAGGAAAAGAAAUCAACCGAGAUUCCCCCAGUAGCGGCGAGCGAACGGGGAGCAGCCCAGAGCCUGAAUCAGUGUGUGUGUUAGUGGAAGCGUCUGGAAAGGCGCGCGAUACAGGGUGACAGCCCCGUACACAAAAAUGCACAU
rnacentral:rRNA from 1 species